UACGUAGGGUGCAAGCGUUGUCCGGAAUUAUUGGGCGUAAAGAGCUCGUAGGCGGUCUGUCGCGUCGGCUGUGAAAACCCGGGGCUCAACCCCGGGCCUGCAGUCGAUACGGGCAGACUAGAGUGCGGUAGGGGAGACUGGAAUUCCUGGUGUGGCGGUGAAAUGCGCAGAUAUCAGGAGGAACACCGGUGGCGAAGGCGGUUCUCUGGGCCUUACCUGACGCUGAGGAGCGAAAGCGUGGGGAGCGAACAGG
rnacentral:rRNA from 1 species